CCUACGGGUGGCAGCAGUGGGGGAUAUUGCACAAUGGGGGAAACCCUGAUGCAGCGACGCCGCGUGUGGGAAGACGGUCCUCUGGAUUGUAAACCACUGUCCCCAGGGACGAAGAUGACGGUACCUGGGGAGGAAGCUCCGGCUAACUACGUGCCAGCAGACGCGGUAAUACGUAGGGAGCGAGCGUUGUCCGGAAUUACUGGGUGUAAAGGGAGCGUAGGCGGGGAUGCAAGUUGGGUGUCAAAACUACGGGCUCAACUGGUCGUCGCACUCAAAACUGCAGCUCUUGAGUGAAGUAGAGGCAGGCGGAAUUCGUGGUGUAGCGGUGAAAUGCGUAGAUAUUAGGAAGAACACCAGUGGCGAAGGCGGCCUGCUGGGCUUUUACUGACGCUGAGGCUCGAAAGUGUGGGGAGCGAACAGGAUUAGAUACCCUGGUAGUC
rnacentral:rRNA from 1 species